rnacentral:tRNA from 1 species
GGAGAGAUGCCAGAGUGGUCGAUUGGGGCGGUCUCGAAAACCGUUGUCCGGGCAACUGGACCGAGGGUUCGAAUCCCUCUCUCUCCG